ACCUUGUUCCCCCAUCUUUAUUCCACUCAGCAGGUCAAUGCUCUCUGGUUCGUCUUCUAUCGUCUCCUCUUUGACCAGCAGCAGAUCAGGCUUCCCAUCCUCCAUGUCUACUGACUCAUUGAGACUGUGUGUGGUCCUGUGCUGCUCAGCUGGUUCCUCUGUG